AAGAAUGAUUAUCCAGGCCGGGCGCGGUGGCUCAUGCCUGUAAUCCCAGCACUUUGGGAGGCCGAGGCAGGCGGAUCAUGAGACAAGGACAUUUACCUAUGGUCAUAUUAUUACUCCAGCAUGGUGCAGACCCCACUCUCAUUGAUGGAGAGGGAUUCAGCAGCAUCCACUUGGCAGUAUUGUUUCAACACAUGCCUAUUAUAGCAUAUCUCAUCUCAAAGGGACAGAGUGUGAAUAUGACAGAUGUAAAUGGGCAGACACCUCUCAUGUUAUCAGCUCACAAAGUAAUUGGGCCAGAACCAACUGGAUUUCUUUUAAAGUUUAAUCCUUCUCUCAAUGUGGUUGAUAAAAUACACCAAAACACUCCACUUCACUGGGCAGUUGCAGCAGGAAAUGUUAAUGCAGUUGAUAAGCUUUUGGAAGCUGGUUCUAGCCUGGAUAUCCAGAAUGUUAAGGGAGAAACACCUCUUGAUAUGGCUCUACAAAACAAAAAUCAGCUCAUUAUUCAUAUGCUAAAAACAG
rnacentral:sRNA from 1 species